GAUGAACGCUGGCGGCGUGCCUAAUACAUGCAAGUCGAGCGAACAGAUGAGGAGCUUGCUCCGCUGACGUUAGGGGCGGGGGGGAGAGUAACACGAGUAUAACGUCCUUAAAAGAUUGGGAAAACUGCGUGAAAGCGGAGCUUAUACGGGAUAAUCUACUGCUCCGCAUGGUUCACUAGUGAAUGUCGGCUUUGCUGUCACUGAUAGAGGGUUCCGCGCCGCAUUAGCUAGUAGGUUAGGUCACGGCUUACCAAGGCAACGAAUAGUGGCCGAACUGGGAGGGGGAUCGGCUACACUGGAACUGGGACACGCUCCAGACUCCUAAGGGAGGCAGCAGUAGCGAAUCGGCCGCAAUGGGCGAAAACCUGACGGAGCGACGCCGCGUGAGUGAUGAAGGUGUUGGGAGCGUAAAAAUCUGUUAUUGGUGAAGAACAGCUUUGGAAGGAGAUAUGCAGGUAUUGACGGUACCGAGUCAAAAAGCAACGGCUAACUACGUG
rnacentral:rRNA from 1 species